rnacentral:rRNA from 1 species
GACGAACCGUGCGACCGUUGUUCGGAAUCACUGGGCUUAAAGGGCGCGUAGGCGGGCCAGCAAGUCAGGGGUGAAAGCCCACGGCUCAACCGUGGAAGUGCCUCUGAUACUGUUGGCCUCGAGGGAGGUAGGGGCGUGCGGAACUUCCGGUGGAGCGGUGAAAUGCGUAGAUAUCGGAAGGAACAUCGGUGGCGAAAGCGGCGCGCUGGACCUCUACUGACGCUGAGGCGCGAAAGCCAGGGGAGCAAACGGG